rnacentral:rRNA from 1 species
CGGCGGGCGGGUGAGUAACGCGUGGGUAACCUGCCUCAUACAGGGGGGUAACAGUUGGAAACGGCUGCUAAUACCGCAUAAGCGCACAGUACCGCAUGGUACGGUGUGAAAAACUCCGGUGGUAUGAGAUGGACCCGCGUCUGAUUAGGUAGUUGGUGGGGUAACGGCCUACCAAGCCGACGAUCAGUAGCCGACCUGAGAGGGUGACCGGCCACAUUGGGACUGAGACACGGCCAA